rnacentral:lncRNA from 1 species
CUGAACCAUCCGCGGUGAGAGGGAGGGGGUGUAAGAGGAUGGAGCUCUCAUCUAACAGACCAGGAAGGAAGUCUUGGCCAGAUAACAUCUCAUCUCGAUAAAUAAAGAAGUGGCAAUAAUGUAGAUGUAUUGCUUAGCGAUAGGGAAGCAGCAUCCAGAAGAAUUAAACACUGUAGAUGCUAAAAACUCAGACUUGCUCCAAGGUUUAAGUCAAAGGAAAAGUUUGAAUUGAAGACAGGAGGGAGCAGCAGGAUCCUGGCUCUCACAGUCCCGUGUUCAGCACCAGGGUGGAUCCAUGUAUGUCUCUCUUUGGGUUCUCUUUGUUACGAAGGUUCUCUGGGGUUGUGGACUGCAUGCUGGUUAUCCUUUGCUUUAUGUCUAAUAGCUAUUCGUGACUAGUAUUGGUCAACUGGCAGGAUAAAGGCACUUGCUGCCAAGCCUGAUAACUGGAGUUUAAUUCCCAGAACCCACAUGGAAGAAAGAAACAAUCAACUCCUCCAAGUUGACCUCUGACCUCCUUAUGUGCCCUGUGGCAUACACAUGUCCCCAC